rnacentral:rRNA from 1 species
CCGGGGUGGAGUAAUGUCUGGGAAACUGCCUGAUGAGGGGGGAUAACUGCUGGAAACGGUAGCUAAUACCGCAUAACGUCGCAAGACCAAAGAGGGGGACCUUCGGGCCUCUUGCCAUCGGAUGUGCCCAGAUGGGAUUAGCUAGUAGGUGGGGUAACGGCUCACCUAGGCGACGAUCCCUAGCUGGUCUGAGAGGAUGACCAGCCACACUGGAACUGAGACACGGUCCAG